CACGUAGGCACCAAGCGUUGUCCGGAUUUAUUGGGCGUAAAGAGCUCGUAGGCGGUUCAGUAAGUCGGGUGUGAAAACUCUGGGCUUAACCCAGAGCCGCCACUCGAUACUGCUGUGACUUGAGUUCGGUAGGGGAGCAGGGAAUUCCUAGUGUAGCGGUGAAAUGCGCAGAUAUUAGGAGGAACACCGGUGGCGAAGGCGCUGCUCUGGGCCGAUACUGACGCUGAGGAGCGAAAGCGUGGGUAGCAAACGGG
rnacentral:rRNA from 1 species